UUUGCAUAUCCNAAAGCGGAGGAAAGGAAACCAACCGGGAUUGCCUUAGUAACGGCGAGUGAAGCGGCAAAAGCUCAAAUUUGAAAUCUGGUACCUUCGGUGCCCGAGUUGUAAUUUGGAGAGGGCAACUUUGGGGCCGUUCCUUGUCUAUGUUCCUUGGAACAGGACGUCAUAGAGGGUGAGAAUCCCGUGUGGCGAGGAGUGCGGUUCUUUGUAAAGUGCCUUCGAAGAGUCGAGUUGUUUGGGAAUGCAGCUCUAAGUGGGUGGUAAAUUCCAUCUAAAGCUAAAUAUUGGCGAGAGACCGAUAGCGAACAAGUACAGUGAUGGAAAGAUGAAAAGAACUUUGAAAAGAGAGUGAAAAAGUACGUGAAAUUGUUGAAAGGGAAGGGCAUUUGAUCAGACAUGGUGUUUUGUGCCCUCUGCUCCUUGUGGGUAGGGGAAUCUCGCAUUUCACUGGGCCAGCAUCAGUUUUGGUGGCAGGAUAAAUCCAUAGGAAUGUAGCUUGCCUCGGUAAGUAUUAUAGCCUGUGGGAAUACUGCCAGCUGGGACUGAGGACUGCGACGUAAGUCAAGGAUGCUGGCAUAAUGGUUAUAUGCCGCCCGUCUUGACCCACGGGACC
rnacentral:rRNA from 1 species